UACAGAGGUCCCAAGCGUUGUUCGGAUUCACUGGGCGUAAAGGGUGCGUAGGUGGUGAGGUAAGUCGGAUGUGAAAUCUCCAAGCUCAACUUGGAAACUGCAUUGGAAACUGCCUUGCUUGAGGAUUUGAGGGGGGAUUGGAAUACUUGGUGUAGCAGUGAAAUACGUAGAUAUCAAGUGGAACACCAGUGGCGAAGGCGAAUCCCUGGAAAAUACCUGACACUGAGGCACGAAAGCUAGGGGAGCAAACAGG
rnacentral:rRNA from 1 species